rnacentral:rRNA from 1 species
AUACGGAGGGCGCAAGCGUUACUCGGAAUCACUGGGCGUAAAGCGCGCGCAGGCGGCCAUUUAAGUUGGAUGUGAAAGCCUACGGCUCAACCGUAGAACUGCAUCCAAAACUAUUUGGCUAGAGUGUGGGAGAGGAAGAUGGAAUUAGUUGUGUAGGGGUAAAAUCCGUAGAGAUAACUAGGAAUACCAAAAGCGAAGGCAAUCUUCUGGAACAUUACUGACGCUGAGGCGCGAAAGCGUGGGGAGCAAACAGGAUUAGAAACCCCAGUAGUCC